GACGAACGCUGGCGGCGUGCUUAACACAUGCAAGUCGAACGAUGACGGUGGUGCUUGCACCGCCUGAUUAGUGGCGAACGGGUGAGUAACACGUGAGUAACCUGCCCCCCACUUCGGGAUAACCUCGGGAAAUCGUGGCUAAUACCGGAUAUGAGCACUCAUCGCAUGGUGGGUGUUGGAAAGAUUUAUCGGUGGGGGAUGGACUCGCGGCCUAUCAGUUUGUUGGUGAGGUGAUGGCUCACCAAGACGAUGACGGGUAGCCGGCCUGAGAGGGCGACCGGCCACACUGGGACUGAGACACGGCCCAG
rnacentral:rRNA from 1 species